UGGGGAAUAUUGCACAAUGGGGGGAACCCUGAUGCAGCGACGCCGCGUGAAGGAAGAAGUAUCUCGGUAUGUAAACUUCUAUCAGCAGGGAAGAAAGAGGACGGUACCUGACUAAGAAGCCCCGGCUAACUACGUGCCAGCAGCCGCGGUAAUACGUAGGGGGCGAGCGUUAUCCGGAUUUACUGGGUGUAAAGGGAGCGUAGACGGCCAUGCAAGCUCGGUGUGAAAGGUGCGGGCACAACCCGCAGACUGCACUGAGAACUGUAUGGCUGGAGUGCCGGAGGGGCAGGCGGAAUUCCUGGU
rnacentral:rRNA from 1 species